rnacentral:rRNA from 1 species
UACGUAGGGCGCAAGCGUUGUCCGGAAUUAUUGGGCGUAAAGAGCUCGUAGGUGGUUUGUUACGUCUGCUGUGAAAACCUAGGGCUUAACCCUGGGCCUGCAGUGGAUACGGGCAGACUAGAGGUAGGUAGGGGAGAAUGGAAUUCCCGGUGUAGCGGUGAAAUGCGCAGAUAUCGGGAGGAACACCGGUGGCGAAGGCGGUUCUCUGGGCCUUACCUGACACUGAGGAGCGAAAGCGUGGGGAGCGAACAGGAUU